UGCCUUGCCUUCUCUUGCCUUGG
rnacentral:miRNA from 3 species